UUAACAUAUUAUCCCUUCAUACGACACUGUAGAACUGUUCUAUUAACCAUGCGAUUACUGAAGAUUUUUAUCGUCGGUUCAACAAACCAGGUCUUUAGGAGUAUAAGGAUUGUUCGUAGUUGGUUACCGAAUAACGGAAGUAUUUAAGUACGAUGUUGGUUACCGAAUAACGGAAGUGUUUACAUACAGAACGUUUAAUUGUUGUUUUCAUUCACAAGUUUGGUGUUUCAACAUCGUGUUGAAUGAUACAGUCCAGUAAGUACAAUAAAGCGGGAAUAUAUAUACAUCUUCUUAGUCAAUAAGAAAACUCUGGAUGACAUGUAUUAUUUUAGUCUACAGAUAAAAUAAAGGAUAAAUUUUAGGUCAUAACACCGGUACAUCUGUGUUGAACAUCAUACUGAUACUCCUGAUUUCCCAAUCUGAUGUUUAAACGCUGUAGUUAUUUAAAGAACACCGUCCCCGGUAUUGAAGCAUGUGUUUCAAAGGUGUACCGUUAUUUUUGAAGAAUUCAACGAGUUUCAUCCUCUAACACUCCCAAACGUUAAAGCGUAUCGAGUCGAUUUAUAUCUAACAUCUAAGUUCUGCGAUGUACGUCUUAAAGUUCCUUCGUUGUUUUGUUGUCCAUACUUUUAUACAAAUAUUCAGUUACAUAUUCUAAACUAAAUUAUAGAGUUGAUAAAUAGUUUGACUCCGAGUCAUAAGAAAAAUAGAGUUUUUCUUGAGAUGCCGGAACGUCCAGUGAUGAUUUAGUCCAUUACAAAUGUAUCGUAACGAUUGACUUUAGAUCUUGUGUUAGGGACAAACAGUAUAGUAUCGUAACGAUUCUACCUCUGUUCUACUGAUGUAUAUCUGUGUACGUUUUGUAGAUCUCCUGUUAUACGUAUCAUAUCAAUCGAACGAUGAGGGUGGGGGUGAUAAAGUUUAUAAGAACGGUAGUCCGUUACCAGUAAAUUACAGUCACUUGACGGUAAGGUAUCCACGCAUACCCCUUAAGCUUUUCGUUCCGUCCACUUAUAGUUAGUUUUCUCCUGCAAUGAUGCCCGGAAUGUUCACCCUCUCUACAACUUCUCCGAUUACGUUCGUAGUAUGGGCAUCGACUUUUACAACUGCUAUGAAUGUGCUGCCAAGGUCC
rnacentral:rRNA from 1 species